UACGUAGGUGGCAAGCGUUGUCCGGAUUUACUGGGUGUAAAGGGCGUGUAGCCGGGCUGACAAGUCAGAUGUGAAAUCCGGGGGCUCAACCCCCGAACUGCAUUUGAAACUGUUGGUCUUGAGUAUCGGAGAGGCAGGCGGAAUUCCUAGUGUAGCGGUGAAAUGCGUAGAUAUCAGGAGGAACACCGGUGGCGAAGGCGGCCUGCUGGACUGCAACUGACGUUGAGGCCCGAAAGCGUGGGGAGCAAACAGG
rnacentral:rRNA from 1 species